AGAAAAGAGGACAUGAAAAGGGGGAACAUGAGAGUUCAGACACCGCUGGAGACAGUCCUACUCCUCUUUCUCUUUACCCUUCUCCCUCCAUUCCUUUCCCCUCCUCCCCUGUCCUCAUCUCUCAGGAGAGGAUGAAGCCGCUCCCAUCCACUGGGAACUGAAUGGCCUGAAUGGAGACGACUAUCACUGCCAGCCGUUUCUCACUGAAAUCACAUUCCUUUGCCUCUCUACAGUUUGAGAUUUUUGCUUUGUCCCACUGGUACAUAUUUGCUGUGCAUUGAGUCAUCCUCCAUGAUUAGAUUAAGUUUUCACACUAACAGCCCUUCCACUUGUUCCCUUUGUCACUUUCACACAAGUUCAUUCAAGCUGUAUUUAUGUGGACUGUUACCGAGGAAAUGAAUGUCAGUCUGAGUUGUCACAAGCUGAAAGGGUUGGGUCAACUUAUUUCCAAAAAAUAUUUCAAUUGUAAUUCAUAUAACUGUGACUCAUAGCACUAUACAUGAAUAACUAUGUAAAGAAAAGUACUCAUGUUAGGAGCCGUUUUAAGCCUCUGACUUCAGUGUAUUCUGAGUAAAUGUCAGUGUCAGCUGCCAUUGGUUUGCAGUGUGGUGGCCUCGUGGUUAGAGACUAAAAAACUACAACAUCGGUUUCAUUUUUGUAGACUGGGCCAUGGUUCGAGUAUGAGUACAAGUUACGAUAAUACUGCACUCACGAGUGACAGCUAGCCAAUAGAAGGCCCACGUUCAAUGCCUCACAAGUCACAUGGCUGAAUUCAAAGUUAGCAAGCUUCAUAAAUCAUCAAAUAUUUGAAAUAAGCAAAUUAAUGAGUGUUUAUUUUUUAAGAAUUGUAAUGACAGAAAUACUUCAAAUUAUGUUAGAAAGUAUGAUAGCAACUGGUAACAUGUUCUAUAGAGUGUACUCUCUUUCCUAAUAGAUGUUGUCCCAGCCGCAGCACACAUUAAAUCAAAAC